GUGGGGAAUAUUGGACAAUGGGCGCAAGCCUGAUCCAGCCAUGCCGCGUGAGUGAUGAAGGCCCUAGGGUUGUAAAGCUCUUUCACCGGAGAAGAUAAUGACGGUAUCCGGAGAAGAAGCCCCGGCUAACUUCGUGCCAGCAGCCGCGGUAAUACGAAGGGGGCUAGCGUUGUUCGGAAUUACUGGGCGUAAAGCGCACGUAGGCGGACAUUUAAGUCAGGGGUGAAAUCCCGGGGCUCAACCCCGGAACUGCCUUUGAAACUCCUGGUCUUGAGGUCGAGAGAGGUGAGUGGAAUUCCGAGUGUAGAGGUGAAAUUCGUAGAUAUUCGGAGGAACACCAGUGGCGAAGGCGGCUCACUGGCUCGAUACUGACGCUGAGGUGCGAAAGCGUGGGGAGCAAACAGGAUUAGAUACCCGUGUAGUCC
rnacentral:rRNA from 1 species